GACGAACGCUGGUGGCGUGCCUAAUACAUGCAAGUCGAGCGGACCAAUAGAAGCUUGCUUCUGUUGGUUAGCGGCAGACGGGUGAGUAACACGUGGGCAACCUGCCCGUAAGACUGGGAUCACUUCGGGAAACCGGGGCUAAUACCGGAUAAUUCAUCUCCUCGCAUGCGGGGAUGCUGAAAGUCGGUUUACGCUGACACUUACAGAUGGGCCCGCGGCGCAUGAGCUAGUUGGCGAGGUAAUGGCUCACCAAGGCGACGAUGCGUAGCCGGCCUGAGAGGGUGAUCGGCCACGCUGGGACUGAGACACGGCCCGGACUCCUACGGGAGGCAGCAGUAGGGAAUCUUCCACAAGGGACGAAGGUCUGAUGGAGCAACGCCGCGUGAGCGAUGAAGGCCUUCGGGUCGUAAAGCUCUGUUGUUAGGGAAGAACAAGUAUCGGAGUAACUGCCGGUACCUUGACGGUACCUAACCAGAAAGCCACGGCUAACUACGUGCCAGCCGCCGCGGUAAAAC
rnacentral:rRNA from 1 species